rnacentral:rRNA from 1 species
GACGAACGCUGGCGGCGUGCCUAAUACAUGCAAGUCGAGCGAGACUCUUCGGAGUCUAGCGGCGGACGGGUGAGUAACACGAGGGCAACCUGCCUGUAAGACUGGGAUAACACCGGGAAACCGGUGCUAAUACCGGAUAAUCCUUUUCCUCUCAUGAGGAAAAGCUGAAAGUCGGUUUCGGCUGACACUUACAGAUGGGCCCGCGGCGCAUUAGCUAGUUGGUGAGGUAACGGCUCACCAAGGCGACGAUGCGUAGCCGACCUGAGAGGGUGAUCGGCCACACUGGGACUGAGACACGGCCCAGACUCCUACGGGAGGCAGCAGUAGGGAAUCUUCCACAAUGGACGAAAGUCUGAUGGAGCAACGCCGCGUGAGCGAUGAAGGCCUUCGGGUCGUAAAGCUCUGUUGUUAGGGAAGAACAAGUACCGGAGUAACUGCCGGUACCUUGACGGUACCUAACCAGAAAGCCACGGCUAACUACGUGCCAGCCGCCGCGGUAA